rnacentral:rRNA from 1 species
UACGUAGGGGGCAAGCGUUGUCCGGAUUUAUUGGGCGUAAAGAGCGUGUAGGCGGCCAGGUAGGUCUGCUGUGAAAACUCGAGGCUUAACCUCGAGCUGUCGGCGGAAACCAUCUGGCUAGAGUCCGGAAGAGGAGAAUGGAAUUCCCGGUGUAGUGGUGAAAUGCGUAGAGAUCAGGAGGAACACCGGUGGCGAAGGCGGGACUCUGGGCCGAUACUGACGCUGAGGAGCGAAAGCGUGGGGAGCAAACAGG